AUUGAACGCUGGCGGCAGGCCUAACACAUGCAAGUCGAGCGAGCGGCGGACGGGUGAGUAAUGUAUGGGGACUGCCCGAUAGAGGGGGAUAACUACUGGAAACGGUGGCUAAUACCGCAUACUAUCGGAUAACCCAUGUGGGAUUAGCUAGUAGGUGGGGUAAAGGCUCACCUCGGCGACGAUCUCUAGCUGGUCUGAGAGGAUGAUCAGCCACACUGGGACUAAGACAUGGCCCAGACUCCGAGGGAGGCAGCAGUAGGGAAUAUUCGGCAAUGGGCGAAAGUCUGACCGAGCAAAGCCGCGUGCGUGAAGAAGGUUUUCGGCUCGUAAAACGCUUUUGUUAGAGAAGCGGGACCUAAGCAAAAAGCAACAGCUAACUCCGUGCCAGCAGCCGCGGUAAUAC
rnacentral:rRNA from 1 species